GCCUCCGUGGCACAGUAGGGUGUUCGGCAGUUAACCGAAAGGUUGGUGGUUCGAGACCACCUGGGGGUG